GAAUUUUACAUUUACACUGUAGAAUGAUCUUUUCUAUAUGUAGUAGUGUAGCCUCUCAUUGGUUUUGUUAAAUGUUGAUAUACAAAGAUUUGUUUAUUUUUUGUAACUAAUAAAAUUAUAUAUACAUUGUACAUCAUUUUAUAUAGAAUAGAUCAUUUUGUAUUUUUUGAUAGGCAUAAAACACUAAGUCUUGUACAUUUUGAUUUUUUCCUGAUAUAUUUGCUUAUUUCUUUUUGUAUUCAUCUGUGUUUUGUUACAUACAUAUCAUUUAUAUGUUUGUCUAUAUAGUGAUUUUCUUCUCAUUUUAUACAUGCAUUACUGCUAAGAAAGUAGAGACAAUUCCUGUUGAAAUUUGACAUUUUGUCAGUAGAUCCAAACAAUUUCGUCCAUUUCUGUCAAUCUGCCCAAUUUUUAUGUGAUAAUGAGAAUUAUUCAUAUGUAUUGUAUUUAUUAACCUUUUUGAGUUUGUACUUUUUUUCUAUCUUUAAAUAAACACAUUCCUUCCU
rnacentral:misc_RNA from 1 species